CUACGGGACGCUGCAGUGAGGAAUUUUGCGCAAUGGGGGAAACCCUGACGCAGCAACGCCGCGUGAGUGAUGAAGGCCUUCGGGUCGUAAAACUCUGUCAAGUGGGAAGAACCUAUGUAAGGUUAAUACCCUUAUGUACUGACGGUACCACUGAAGGAAGCACCGGCUAACUCCGUGCCAGCAGCCGCGGUAAUACGGAGGGUGCAAGCGUUAUGCGGAAUUAUUGGGCGUAAAGGGCGCGCAGGCGGUUUUGUAAGUCAGAUGUGAAAGCCCGAGGCUUAACCUCGGAAGUGCAUUUGAUACUGCAAGACUUGAGUAUGGGAGGAGGAAGUGGAAUUCCUGGUGUAGAGGUGAAAUUCGUAGAUAUCAGGAGGAACACCAGUGGCGAAGGCGACUUCCUGGACCAAUACUGACGCUGAGGCGCGAAGGCGUGGGGAGCAAACAGGAUUAGAUACCCGCGUAGUC
rnacentral:rRNA from 1 species